rnacentral:rRNA from 1 species
GUGGGGAAUUUUGGACAAUGGGCGCAAGCCUGAUCCAGCAAUGCCGCGUGCAGGAAGAAGGCCUUCGGGUUGUAAACUGCUUUUGUACGGAACGAAAAGGCUCUGGUUAAUACCUGGGGCUCAUGACGGUACCGUAAGAAUAAGCACCGGCUAACUACGUGCCAGCAGCCGCGGUAAUACGUAGGGUGCAAGCGUUAAUCGGAAUUACUGGGCGUAAAGCGUGCGCAGGCGGUUUUGUAAGACAGACGUGAAAUCCCCGGGCGCAACCUGCGAAUGGCGUUUGUGACUGCAAAGCUGGAGUGCUGCAGAGGGGGAUGGAAUUCCGCGUGUAGCAGUGAAAUGCGUAGAUAUGCGGAGGAACACCGAUGGCGAAGGCAAUCCCCUGGGCCUGCACUGACGCUCAUGCACGAAAGCGUGGGGAGCAAACAGGAUUAGAUACCCGGGUAGUCC